rnacentral:rRNA from 1 species
AUUGAACGCUGGCGGCAGGCCUAACACAUGCAAGUCGAGCGAGCGGCGGACGGGUGAGUAAUGUCUGGGAAACUGCCUGAUGGAGGGGGAUAACUACUGGAAACGGUAGCUAAUACCGCAUACCAUCAGAUGUGCCCAGAUGGGAUUAGCUUGUUGUUGGGGUAACGGAUCACCUAGGCGACGAUCCCUAGCUGGUCUGAGAGGAUGACCAGCCACACUGGAGCUGGGCCACGGACCCGCCUCCUACGGGAGGCAGCAGUGGGGAAUAUUGCACAAUUGGCGCGAGCCUGGUGCAGCCGUCCGGCGUGUGUGACCGAGGCCCUCUGUUUGUGACGCACUUUCGUCGGGGAGGCGUUACCCGCAUAAGAAGCACCGGCUAACUCCGUGCCAGCAGCCGCGGUAAUAC